rnacentral:tRNA from 1 species
GGAGGGGUUCCCGAGUUGGCCAAAGGGGGCAGACUGUAAAUCUGCUGUCUCAGACUUCGAUGGUUCGAAUCCGUCUCCCUCCACCA